GGCUCCAUAAGCUCAGAGGUUAGAGCACUGGUCUUGUAAAACCAGGGGUCCGCGAGUUCAAUUCUCGCUGGGGCCU
rnacentral:tRNA from 1 species